GAUGAAGAACGCAGCGAAAUGCGAUACGUAAUGUGAAUUGCAGAAUUCAGUGAAUCAUCGAGUCUUUGAACGCACAUUGCGCCCCCUGGUAUUCCGGGGGGCAUGCCUGUCCGAGCGUCAUUACAACCCUCAAGCUCAGCUUGGUGUUGGGCCCCGCCGCCCCGGCGGGCCCUAAAGUCAGUGGCGGUGCCGUCCGGCUCCGAGCGUAGUAAUUCUUCUCGCUCUGGAGGUCCGGUCGUGUGCUCGCCAGCAACCCCCAAUUUUUUUCAGGUUGACCUCGGAUCAGGUAGGGAUACCCGCUGAACUUAAGCAUAUCAAUAAGCGGAGGA
rnacentral:misc_RNA from 1 species